AUGCGAUACUUGGUGUGAAUUGCAGAAUCCCGUGAACCAUCGAGUUUUUGAACGCAAGUUGCGCCCGAAGCCAUUCGGUCGAGGGCACAUCUGCCUGGGCGUCACGUCUCGCGUCGCUCCUAAACCAUGUCUCCUCAAAAAGGAUGUGCGAGAUAGGGGCGGAUACUGGUCUCCCGUGCCUAUGGUGUGGUUGGCCGAAAUUACGAGUCUCCUUUUCAUGGACACACGGCAAGUGGUGGUUGAGCUGACCUUAGUUUCGUGUUUGUGUGUUCGUAGAUGUAUUGGAAGACCUAGCAAAAGUACCCUAGUGCGUCGUCUUGCGGCGGUGCUUCGACCGCGACCCCAGGUCAGGUGGGACUACCCGCUGAGUUUAAGCAUAUCAAUAAGCGGAGGAGAAGAAACUUACAAGGAUUCCCUUAGUAACGGCGAGCGAACCGGGAAUAGCCCAGCUUGAAAAUCGGACAGUUUUGCUGUCUGAAUUGUAGUCUGGAGAAGCGUCA
rnacentral:rRNA from 1 species